AUGUAUUGUACUUGUCUCCAUCUGCGCCUUAGAUACAAGUCCUCUCUUACGAAGAGUCCAGGUGGUAGUAUCGGCUUGGUUUUCAAUAGAAGGAGGUGGUUUGGGAACAGAGCGCAGCACAUUUCGGACCAUGCGGAUCAAACGCUCCCAUACACCGCCGUGAUGAGAUCCUGCUGGGGGGUUAAAGUGCCAUUUAAUUCCCUUCUGAAGCAUAGCCGUCUGGAUUUUGUCCUGAUUCAAGGGCCGAAGUAGUCUACUCCUACAUCAGUAAAUGGAGGCUUGUCUGGUAGAAUCCUUUCCAGAGGUAAGUCUGCCAUUUUCUGUUCCCCAACUCUUCCCCGCAGUCGUUUGCACACAACACAGUUUGUUAUGAUCCUUCUUGCCGCAGAGUUAGCUUUGAUAAUCCAGUACUUUUUACGGAGUCGGGACAGCAUAUGAUUUCUUCCCCCAUGGCCAAUUUGUUCGU
ensembl:lncRNA